rnacentral:rRNA from 1 species
AGUAGGGCGGGACACGUGAAAUCCUGUCUGAACAUGGGGGGACCACCCUCCAAGCCUAAGUACUCCUUGUCGACCGAUAGCGAACAAGUACCGUGAGGGAAAGGUGAAAAGCACCCCGAUGAGGGGAGUGAAAUAGACCUGAAACCGGAUGCCUACAAGCAGUCGGAGCCUCCUUGAGGGGUGACGGCGUACCUUUUGUAUAAUGGGUCAGCGAGUUAGUCUGUCGAGCAAGCUUAAGCCGUUAGGUGUAGGCGCAGCGAAAGCGAGUCUGAAUAGGGCGUUGAGUUCGACGGAUUAGACCCGAAACCGGGUGAUCUAGCCAUGGGCAGGUUGAAGGUGCGGUAACACGCACUGGAGGACCGAACCCACGCCUGUUGAAAAAGUCGGGGAUGAGCUGUGGCUAGGGGUGAAAGGCCAAUCAAACUCCGUGAUAGCUGGUUCUCCCCGAAAUGCAUUUAGGUGCAGCGUUGCGUGGUUCUUGUUGGAGGUAGAGCACUGGAUGGUCUAGGGGGCUUAU